rnacentral:rRNA from 1 species
UACGUAGGUGGCGAGCGUUGUCCGGAUUUACUGGGCGUAAAGAGCGCGCAGGCGGUCGUUCAAGUCGGAUGUGAAAGCCCCCCGGCUCAACUGGGGAGGGUCAUUCGAUACUGAUCGACUCGAAGGCAGGAGAGGGAAGCGGAAUUCCCGGUGUAGUGGUGAAAUGCGUAGAUAUCUGGAGGAACACCGGUGGCGAAGGCGGCAUCCUGGACCGACACUGACGCUGAGGAGCGAAAGCCAGGGGAGCAAACGGG